CUAUAUUCGCGGCCUUUUGGCUAAGGUCAAGUGUAGUAUCUGUUCUUCUCAGUUUAAUAUCUAUGUCCUCGAUGUGAGGACGCUGUAUUAAGCGUCUUUUUGGAGUAGAGAGGUGGGUUGGGAGCUUACUCCGUCCCCUCCGUGCGUCGGCCUGGUAUUGCAGUGCUUCCAGGAAGGGUGCCUUUCCU